GUCGAACGGUAACAGGUUAAGCUGACGAGUGGCGAACGGGUGAGUAAUAUAUCGGAACGUGCCCAGUCGUGGGGGAUAACUGCUCGAAAGAGCAGCUAAUACCGCAUACGACCUGAGGGUGAAAGCGGGGGAUCGCAAGACCUCGCGCGAUUGGAGCGGCCGAUAUCAGAUUAGGUAGUUGGUGGGGUAAAGGCCCACCAAGCCAACGAUCUGUAGCUGGUCUGAGAGGACGACCAGCCACACUGGGACUGAGACACGGCCCAGACUCCUACGGGAGGCAGCAGUGGGGAAUUUUGGACAAUGGGCGCAAGCCUGAUCCAGCCAUGCCGCGUGCGGGAAGAAGGCCUUCGGGUUGUAAACCGCUUUUGUCAGGGAAGAAAAGGUUCUGGUUAAUACCUGGGACUCAUGACGGUACCUGAAGAAUAAGCACCGGCUAACUACGUGCCAGCAGCCGCGGUAAUACGUAGGGUGCAAGCGUUAAUCGGAAUUACUGGGCGUAAAGCGUGCGCAGGCGGUUAUGCAAGACAGAGGUGAAAUCCCCGGGCUCAACCUGGGAACUGCCUUUGUGACUGCAUGGCUAGAGUACGGUAGAGGGGGGUGGAAUUCCGCGUGUAGCAGUGAAAUGCGUAGAUAUGCGGAGGAACACCGAUGGCGAAGGCAAUC
rnacentral:rRNA from 1 species